UGUAGUUGUGGAAGAUCUACAGCAAUGCUGUUCUAAGGACAGUACGAAGGAAAAAAGAAGUGCGUCAAACUAAAUGAAGCCUCAUACUCGGAAUUUCUCAAGGAGGUCGGUUCGAAACCUAUAAGAGCACUCUGGUCCAGCCCAGCGGAGGCAGCCCUACAUCCUGGCAGUUGGCAUCACAAGAAAAAACAUCCAUGAUUACUACAUUGCGAUGGAUGGUGAGCUCCUUCCCUGCAAGGCCAGGUCUUCCCUAUCAGCCUUUGAUGAACUCUUCAAGACACAUUAUGUGUACAGCCUGUACACAUUUGUGCAAAGUUUUGCACAGCAUUUUCAUUCUUUUCAUGUCAGAGAGGGAAAUUCUGAAAAUGUUUCCAUGCUGAAAGUUGAUGAGUUGCUCCUGUUUAAGCUGUUUGAUCUGCAAACAACGUAUGGUUUUGAAAGAGAUGAUCAGUAUGUGGUGCCUGUGCAUGUUUUUGUAUAAGAAAUGUUUUAAGAUAUAUUAAAGAUGUUAUAUUUUCA